rfam:Hordeum vulgare subsp. vulgare, WGS project CAJW01000000 data, contig: morex_contig_61828
UAUAUACUCCUUCCGUCUGAAAUUACUUGUCAUCCAAAUGGAAAGAAAUGAUUGUAUCUAGAACUAACAUAUAUCUAGAUACAUCUAUUUUCAUGACAAGUAAUUCCGAACAUAGGGAGUAGUUU